GAUGAACGCUGGCGGCGUGCCUAAUACAUGCAAGUCGAGCGAACAGACGAGGAGCUUGCUCCUCUGACGUUAGCGGCGGACGGGUGAGUAACACGUGUAUAACCUACCUAUAAGACUGGGAUAACUUCGGGAAACCGGAGCUAAUACCGGAUAAUAUAUUGAACCGCAUGGUUCAAUAGUGAAAGACGGUUUUGCUGUCACUUAUAGAUGGAUCCGCGCCGCAUUAGCUAGUUGGUAAGGUAACGGAUUACCAAGGCAACGAUGCGUAGCCGACCUGCGAGGGUGAUCAGCCAGCCUGGAACUGAGACCCGGUCCAGACUCCUACGGGAGGCAGCAGUAGGGAAUCGUCCGGAAUGGGCGAAAGCCUGACGGAGCAACGCCGCGUGAGUAAUGAGGGUCUUCGGAUCGUAAAACUCUGUUAUUAGGGAAGAACAAAUGUGUAAGUAACUAUGCACGUCUUGACGGUACCUAAUCAGAAAGCCACGGCUAACUACGGG
rnacentral:rRNA from 1 species